AUAAUUAAAUUAUAGGAACUCGGCAAUUUUAUUGCUCACCUGUUUAACAAAAACAUGUCCUUUUAGGAAUAUUUAUAUAAGGUCUGGCCUGCCCAAUGAGAGAUUGAAUGGCUGCGGUAUUUUGACCGUGCUAAGGUAGCAUAAUCAUUUGUCUUUUAAUUGAGGGCUUGUAUGAAAGGUUGGAUGAAGUAAUAACUUUCUUUAAUUUAAU
rnacentral:ncRNA from 1 species